UCAUCCCAGAAAACUAGAUUUUACUAAAUAUGCCUUUCACUUCAAGUCGAUUAUAACACAGAGAGUGAAAAACAGAAGCAGGAUUCAGUGAUCUCCAGAUGAAAGCGUCAAGCACAAAUGCACUCGUUUCGGUUUAAAAAGUUUCCGUCUCGGCUGUUCGGCAGUCCCUGAGGUUUCAUCCACUGCCAGCAUACUACGGGCUGCCUGAUCUAAAAUAGGAAACCUCCGAAAAGCAAAGAAAAGAAAAGUUUUCCCCAAUAAGCGGUGCGGAUCCCGUAGAAUCUCCGAACUAUUCGAGGAAACUAACUCGGAGUGCGCGUGAAUUGGUUUUCGCUCGUGAUCGAUCGCGCUGUGAGCGGCCUCUGUUGUGUGCUGCUGCAGUGUGUUAACACUGCAAACCAGUCUCCUCUCUUAUCUGACGCAGAGGGCCUCCCCUUUGCGAUAAAACCGGUUCUUAUUUCUAUUUAGAUAAGGAACUGCAGGUAAUGUGCCUUUUCUUCGCCUUGCAACCAGACUGAUUGACAGAGAAGUGCGCCCCUUUUUAAUGGCUUUUCCGGCACCCAUUUAACUUUUGGAUAAGGUUAUCGCCCACAUCACCCCCGUUAACAAACAAUGGAGGAUGUGCCAGGCAGAGGGGAGUGCAAAAGCUCUACAAGGUUCUGGUUAGACACAGCCAGCCAAACCCACUGCAUAGACCUGUACAGCUGACACCCAGCAGCCUCUACGAGUUGACAAAUGGAAAAAGGCCUGAAGAUAAAUGAAGCACAAUUACCCGAGCUCAGGGAUGGGUGAUGCCAUAGGCUCCCUCGGUCAGUCCCACCCUUUGGUGCUCCGGGGCAGAGGAGAGAGGAAAAAGACCCCGAGAGCAGCUGAUGACUGGGGUUCUGAUGGGAGGACAUGGAAAUGUGGGUCGUGCCUCACCUGCGCUUUCAUCUGCAGGUCCUGUUCAUCCUCAGAGAUGCCUGUCACAAAUCCCCGCUCUGCAUGUCAGAGACACCCGUUUCCCUGUGCAGCCCUGACUCACAGACAUAACCCAAUAGCACACUCACUACCAGGGACUGAAACUCACAUCUGGGCUGCAGAGACAAAGGUGAAACACUUGAGAGCUGUGGUAAAUUCUGAGUAAUGCGGCUCAUUUCUCAGCAAACACAUACUGUAAAGUUUUUGGGGGAAUGCAGAUCUUGACACAAGUUUAGAAGCUGAUGGUUUUUUGUGCUGUCUGAAAUAUAUCGGGUUGCACAUCGCUGACCUAUAAAAGACAACAGACAUCAUCUCGUCUUUCUUUUUGUUGCUACACAGGUUUUCACUGUUGUUUUAGGCUGUGGUACCAACGUCAAAUCAAAACACUUGUUUGGAUGCUCUAAUUGAUGGCAGGCAUUGUUUCCAGCCAGCUCCUCCUCUUCCCUUUCCCCAAUCCACUCCCAGUUCACUCAGAAUUACUUCUCCUCCCCUGCAGCUACGAUUC